rnacentral:rRNA from 1 species
AAUCAACGCUGGCGGCGUGCCUCAGACAUGCAAGUCGAACGCGAAAGGCCCCUUCGGGGGCCGAGUAGAGUGGCGCUCGGGUGAGUAACACGUGGGUAAUUUGCCUUUGGGUGGGGAAUAACAACCGGAAACGGUUGCUAAUACCGCAUAAUGCAGCGGCUCGACAUCGAGACAGUUGUUAAAGCGGGGGAUCUUUCGAGACCUCGCGCCUAAAGAGAAGCCUGCGGCGGAUUAGCUAGUGGUGAGGUAAUGGCUCACCAAGGCUACGAUCCGUAACCGGCCUGAGAGGGCGGACGGUCACACUGACACUUAAAUACGGGUCAGACUCCUACGGGAGGCAGCAGUCGGGAAUUUUGGGCAAUGGGCGAAAGCCUGACCCAGCAACGCCGCGUGAAGGAAUGAAAAUCCCUCGGGAUGUAAACUUCGCAAAGAACGGGAAGAAUAAGCGAGAGUAAAUACCUCUCGUGAUGACGGUACCGUUUGUAAGCUCCGGCUAAC